AUCCAGCUGACGAUUCUCAAAUAGGAUGAAACGCGCUUCCUGGAU
rnacentral:hammerhead_ribozyme from 1 species